UUGUUAUCCAGGAGGAAGGAAAAUAACAGAUGUGACUUAAAAAUGAACCAGGCCCUUUAUGAUGUUGAGUGUAGCACAGAGAGAGCAGGGCAGAUAAGAAGAGGAGAGAUGGAAUCACAACCUUUGUUAAAGGAGUCUUUGUGUCAGUGUACUGUAUAGUUUCAUUUUUAGCCUUCCCGGGAAGAGAGCAGAUAUAUUUCAGUUGGCGGACAGUUUAGUUCACUCUAAACAGUGUUCACUGCAGGUCCACCUGUGGAUUGUAAAGCGUGGACUGUUUCAUGUGACGGAAGAGACCCUUGCCAAUGUGGAAUAUGUUGGUGGUUAACUGACGCUUCUGUGAGAGGAAUCGUAUCGUGCUGCCGGGAGUUGCGUUCGUGCGCCCCGGAAAGAUUACAAAGAGGCGCUUUGUGAGGGGAUGCAGCUGCUGAAAUCCCACCAGAUCCAGCUGAAGAGAGAAGGGAGCAGGUGGACCCCCGGGAGGAGUUUGAAGUGGUGUUCCCUGGACUUGGUUGAGUUUCCAGCCUGGUCUUGUUGUGUCUGGAGGCUGGAUCUUGGCAGGGCUGGAUUUGAGGCUGAAAUAUGAAUCGAAUGCUGUGCACUGCACACCACAGGAGGACAUGGUUUCUUUGCUCCUUUCAGAGACUGCGGCAAGGGGGGGGGGGGGGGGGGGGGGGUGAGGUGGUUGAGGUUUCUCUGUGUCUGGGACCAGGCUCCCUGCUUAGGGACAAGGGGAUUCAACCCCCCUCCCCCCCAUCCCUUCCUCCAGGCUGUCAGGAAGUCUACCAUUCUUCUCAUUGGUGGAGGUUUUCAGACAUCAGACUAUUUCAUCCGAAACGUCGGUUUAAAGUCUAACGACCAUAACGCUGCGGGGACUGAACGAUGGAUGUUAUUCUGUUGUCCCUGGAAGUCUUAUUGUGUUUUAUGUAAACGACUGCUUUUUAUUUGCAUGUCUUGCCCCUCUUGGCAUUAACAGAAAUGUUACACAAAAACAAAUUAGGUCAACGGUUCAUGUUUCAGGUAUCAGGGUUUGUUGAGAACAUACCGUGUUAUCAAUGCGGUACAUUUUUUCCUUGUCUGUCGAGUAAAAAUGCUCAGCCCCCCUUUGAUGACUCGUGUUUCCUGGGGAGGCAAGGGAGGGGGGGAGAGGUGUGGUUAGACCUGGCAGUGUUGAGGGUGAAGCUGACACCUCACUGGACUGCUACCUGGGCCUCACUAGGGAGGCACUCUGCAACCUGUUGGGCCCAUACACGCACGCAGACACAUCCCACGUAUUCAUUUGUCACCCGCAAAAAACACCUACACAGACAUGGAUGCAUACACACGCACAUACACAUCCCACGUAUUCACAUACACACACACACGCACACGCACACAAACACACACAGACCUACACAUAUACACACAGACACACACACAGUCUCAUUACAGCAGGGUCCCCUACCAUGGCCAAGCUUGAGGUAGCAUGUAAUCUGUAUGUUUUAUUGGCCACUGGUCGGACACAGCUAAUAACUUCCUGAGGGA